UGGGGAAUAUUGCACAAUGGGCGAAGCCUGAUGCAGCAACGCCGCGUGAGUGAUGAAGGCCUUCGGGUUGUAAAGCUCUGUCUUUUGGGACGAUAAUGACGGUACCAAAGGAGGAAGCCACGGCUAACUACGUGCCAGCAGCCGCGGUAAUACGUAGGUGGCAAGCGUUGUCCGGAUUUACUGGGCGUAAAGGAUGCGUAGGCGGAUUUUUAAGUGAGAUGUGAAAUACCCGGGCUUAACUUGGGUGCUGCAUUUCAAACUGGGAAUCUAGAGUGCGGGAGAGGAGAAUGGAAUUCCUAGUGUAGCGGUGAAAUGCGUAGAGAUUAGGAAGAACACCAGUGGCGAAGGCGAUUCUCUGGACCGUAACUGACGC
rnacentral:rRNA from 1 species